CACAGGUGAUCGGGUAGAGUAUACUAAGGUGUAUGAGAUAAUUGUGCUGAAGGAACUCGGCAAAUUGUAUGUGUAACUUCGGGAGAAACAUAACCUGCUUUGGGUAACCAAGGUUAGGUAUAAUAGAAAUGGGGGAAGCGACUGUUUAUCAAAAACACAGGACUCUGCAAAAUCGUAAGAUGAAGUAUAGAGUCUGACGCCUGCCCGGUGCUGGCAAGUGAAGUUCAGAUGUGAAUAGCAUUUAGGAUGAAACACCAUGUAAACGGCGGCCGUAACUAUAACGGUCCAAAGGUAGCGAAAUUCCUUGUCGGGUAAGUUCCGACCUGCAUGAAUGGCGUAACGACUUCCCCGCUGUCUCCAGCACAAGCUCAGUGAAAUUGAAAUCCCCGUGAAGAUGCGGGGUACCUGCGGCAAGACGGAAAGACCCCGUGCACCUUUACUGCAACCUUGUAUCGAUGUAUUUUUGGUCAAUUGUACAGUGUAGAUGGUAAGCAAUGACCGUUGGGUCCAAGCUCAACGUAAGCUGUCAAUGAAACACCAUCCUGUUGCCAAACAACAUCUUUAUUGUUACAAGCCAAUCUUGAUACAAGACAAUGCAAGGUGGGUAGUUUGACUGGGGCGGUCACCUCCCAAAGAGUAACGGAGGUGUGCACAAGGUAGGCUCAUGACGUUUGGAAAUCGUCGGUAGAGUACAAUGGCAUAUGCCUGCUUAAGACUGCGAGGCAGACAUGUCGAGCAGAGACGAAAGUCGGUCAUAGUGAUCCAACGAAUCCAAGUGGAAGGGUCGUUGCUCAACGGAUAAAAGGUACGCCGGGGAUAACAGGCUAAUAACCCCUAAGAGUUCUUAUCGACGGGGUUGCUUGGCACCUCGAUGUCGACUCAUCGCAUCCUGGGGCUGAACAAGGUCCCAAGGGUAUGGCUGUUCGCCAUUUAAAGCGGUACGUGAGUUGGGUUCAGAACGUCGCAAGACAGUUCGGUCCCUAUCUGCCGUGGGAGUAAGAAUGUUGACGGAACCUGUCUCUAGUACGAGAGGACCGAGAUGGACAUACCUCUGGUAUACCUGUUGUCGUUGCCAAACGGCAUGGCAGGAUAGCUAAGUAUGGAAUAGAUAACAGCUGAAUGCAUCUAAGCCGGAAGCUAAACCGAAGAAACAUUCUAUUAAGAGAAGUGAUAGACUAUCACGUUGAUAGGCCAGAUGUGUAAGUAUGGUAACAUAUUUCAGCUAACUGGUACUAAUAUCUCGAAAAUUAUAACAA
rnacentral:rRNA from 1 species